rnacentral:rRNA from 1 species
AGUUUUGAGGCAUCUCGAAACUUUUAAAAGACCCGCAAGGGUAUGCUGAGAGAUGGGCUUGCGGCACAUUAGUUAGUUGGUAAGGUAAUGGCUUACCAAGACUAUGAUGUGUAGCUGGACUGAGAGGUUGAACGGCCACAUUGGGACUGAGAUACGGCCCAAACUCCUACGGGAGGCAGCAGUAAGGAAUUUUCGGCAAUGGAGGAAACUCUGACCGAGCAACGCCGCGUGAACGAUGAAGUAUUUAGGUACGUAAAGUUCUUUUAUUAAAGAAGAAAAAAUGAUGGAAAAAUCAUUCUGACGGUAUUUAAUGAAUAAGCCCCGGCUAACUAUGUGCCAGCAGCUGCGGUAAUACAUGGGGGGCAAGCGUUAUCCGGAUUUAUUGGGCGUAAAGGGUGCGUAGGCGGUUAAAUAAGUCUAUGGUAUAAGUUCAACGCUUAACGUUGUGAUGCUAUAGAAACUGUUUGACUAGAGUUGGAUAGAGGCAAGUGGAAUUCCAUGUGUAGCGGUAAAAUGCGUAAAUAUAUGGAGGAACACCAGUAGCGAAGGCGGCUUGCUGGGUCUUAACUGACGCUGAGGCACGAAAGCGUGGGGAGCAAACAGGAUUAGAUACCCUGGUAGUCCACGCCGUAAACGAUGAGUACUAAGUGUUGGGUUAAACCAGUGCUGAAGUUAACACAUUAAGUACUCCGCCUGAGUAGUACGUACGCAAGUAUGAAACUUAAAGGAAUUGACGGGACUCCGCCCAAGCGGUGGAUCAUGUUGUUUAAUUCGAAGAUACACGAAAAACCUUACCAGGUCUUGACAUACUCUGCAAAGCUAUAGAAAUAUAGUGGAGGUUAUCAGGGAUACAGGUGGUGCAUGGUUGUCGUCAGCUCGUGUCGUGAGAUGUUGGGUUAAGUCCCGCAACGAGCGCAACCCUUAUCACUAGUUACCAUCAUUUAGUUGGGCACUUUAGUGAGACUGCCAAUGAUAAAUUGGAGGAAGGUGGGGAUUACGUCAAAUCAUCAUGCCCCUUAUGACCUGGGCUACAAACGUGAUACAAUGGCUGUUACAAAGAGUAGCUGAAACGUGAGUUUUUAGCAAAUCUCAAAAAAACAGUCUCAGUUCGGAUUGAAGUCUGCAACUCGACUUCAUGAAGUCGGAAUCGCUAGUAAUCGCGAAUCAGCAUGUCGUGGUGAAU